GUCCCCAAAGGGACAUCCGAUAAAAUUGGAACGAUACAGAGAAGAUUAGCAUGACCCCUGCGUAAGGAUGACAUGCACAAAUCAAGAAAUGGUCCAAAUAUUG